GCCGCACCUGCAGCGCGGCCAAAUGUCAUUGUCGCUUCUGCGGGGCGAGCGCGGACGCACCUCCGAGGCGGCAGAUGACUAAUAACGCUUGAUGAGAAUUGAUGGGAAGAGGCGCGCGGUGCCCAGGGCUUUGUAUUAGCUGCCCCGACUUCCCCAGCCUCGGCCGACCGGCUGCACCUGUGGACCCCCUUCCUCUCGGCCUUUAUGGAAGUUGACAGAUUUUAUUAACUUUAAGGAAGAACUUUCCAGCGUGCGGAGGGCCGUAGUUUAUUUUGUAUUCAUGCGAAACGGAAACUGAAAAAGCCCUGUUUACAUAUUUACCGGCCCCAGUGACCUCCCACUGGGACUCCAUAAGUCACGGUCCAGAUUAACUUUGUCAUAGAAUUGACUAGAGGGAGUUGGGAGUUCGGGGUUGGGGGGGGAGUUGCAUGUGUAAGUUUUUUUUUUUUCAACGAGAGAAAGCUAUAUUCAAUUAUCUAAUAUCGCUGAGGAACCCCCAAAGACUUCCCGAAUGGUACCGAAAUUGGAAUUAUUUUUCGAAGCAGGUGCUCACGGGGAGAACAUUUGCAAGCGAGCUGGGUAGAUUUGCCCUCCGCUGGGUUACCCUAGCGUUUCGAUUAUGUAAAAACAAAGGCAUCUCAGGAAGACCCAACUUAAAACUUUCAGCCCCUUGGGGACGAGGGAGCGUGGGGGCGGGGAAUGUGUAGGUGAUACGCUCACAUUUUAGAGGUGAAGAUGGGGCUCUUUGAAAAAUAGAACAGAUACUAUUCAUUUGGUAAAUAUGAUGUUUGUGGGGAAAACAUUGGUCUACAACCCGGCACAGUAACUUUCAACAGAAAAAAAAAACUUACAGAAAAAAAUAUCAAGACUUUGCUUAUAGCCUUUUAAAAUUUAUUUCUGUUGGUGUCUCUUCAUUAUGCAAAAAUCAGUAAGUUUCGCUAUGAUCUUUUCCCAUGGACAUGUCAUACACUUUGCUUCCACCUCACAAUGGUCCUCUUACUCCUCCCAAACAACCCUUUUCCUACUUUAAUGUUUUGUGUUUUUUUUUUUUUUUUUUUUUAACAAAUGUAGAUUCUGAAUAUGAGAGCAAGUACAGGAUGCUUCUGUGAGUCUGGCUUUCUUCACUUAACACAAUGACUUCCGGUUCCAUCCAUUUUCUUGCAGAUGACAUGGUUUUGCUCUUGGUGACUGAGUGAAAAGACUCUACUGUCUUCAUCCGUUCUCUUUGUCCCUUUGCCGGCUGCUGUUGGGCGCCUACACUGAUUCCAUGUUGAAAAUAAAAUAGCAACAAACAUGGAUGUACAGCAGCUGCCAAGGAGGGCCCAGCUGUUUACAGAAGGGGACACAUACCACCAAGGAGGCUCAGGCUGGGAAGCCCAGUGCCUUCAGACGGGGAAGAAGGAAACACUGACAUUCUCCAUUUGAAGACAAGGACAAAACUCAGGCCCAGACUUCACCGUGCAGUCCCUUUUUGAGAAGAGGUCCUGAGUGAUGCUGUGGACAUUCUCCUGCAGAGAUUCCUGGAUUUCCUGGCUCACUGGAAGCAUUUCAGCUGAGUGUACAUUACAAAAGAGCCAAGACAACUUCCUAGGCCCCAGGUUUCAGGAAGUGUAGUCUGCCUCAGCAAUCCCAUCUCUAUGAUGGGUUUCCCCAUCAUUCUCCUCAGUCACAGCAAGUCAGAAAGCUCUGAGCAGGUGUGCUUGGGAAGGUUGCUGUGCCAGCUGCGCAGCAAAUGUCUUGUACUGAGGGUGUGGGAGAAGCGGCCUCCUUGGCCACACAGCAGCUCCUGGCCUCCCUACUCUCUGGGUAAGUCAAGCUAUCCUCACGUCUCAGUUCUGGACUGUGUCAGAGAGCUCGUGUCUGAGGCACAGGUGGAUACUUGAUAAAGACCAGGACCGAAAUGAACCCUGUCUCACAGGUGAAGACAGUGUCCUCCGGGGUUAAGAGGGCAUUUAGAGGUUAUCUGUAGCUGAGCUCAGCCUUGUCAUGGCUCAAGGCAGCUUCCUGUGGAGCCAGAACAAGGAUGGAUACCCUCAGACUCCUGCUGGCCCCCAGCCUUCAAGAAUGGACCAUGGAUCCCAUGUUGUUUACUGAGGAAAGUAAACACAGACUGGCUACUUCCGAGGCAAACCGGAAGUCCCCUGAGAAUCCGGUACUGAGAUGGAGUCUCCAGAUGACAGGGCCUCAAGGACUUGGAGAUCAUCAGCCCCUGAGGUGAAGGCCCCAGGGAAACUCACCACCCCCUUUGAACAGUGUUCAGCAGGUGGCUGCACCCCAGCCCUCAGCAUGUAUGCUCCCACAAUGCAACUCUCUUGAGUGCCUUCAAAUGCCCAUUACCAUGAUGCAAACCGCAAAGGCCAACGUGAAGAGGUGCCACGCUCCUGUGGGCAAUAACACCUCUUGUCCUUUGUCCAAGCGUGGGCAGAGAACUACUCAAAUGCUGAGAGCCUGGAUUGUGUGUCACACAGAGACCUCCCUUGUUCAGCGACUAUGAACCUUCCCGGCUGUGGGAGGGACAGAAAGGUUUUUUGGGCUCCCAAGAUCAGGUACUCCCAGCCUUUCUUCUCUUGCUGAAAGUUAGCCCCAUAUGUUUUAAACCAGAAAAUGUGCUUUGUGGGGAAGGCUCAGUGGAUAGCUGUGUACCCUGGACAUUGUAACAAGGCAUCCCAUUGAGGAUUUAGUGGGAGGUGCCAUGACGGAUGGGCUAAGCAGCCUGCAGCUUCUGUGAUUAGCACAUCUGGAGACACUCACUGCUGUAGGCCUGGAGAAGUACCGCUAAGGAUGCUUUUAGUGGCCAGUCACCACUAGGCAUGAUUUGUUUAUGUAUUUUAUAGCUUCAUCACAAACGGAUGGUCUCAAGCAAGAUGAUAUGCAAUUCUUCUGACUGAAAAGGAGGCCGAAGCCCAAAGGAGAGAAGACUCUUGCUCAGGGCCACACAGCAAUUUCUAAACAGGCUUGCAAACAGAGGGAUGGGCCCAUCUUUUGAUCUAUGAAUAUUUUGAACUAUUAAAUUCAUAGCAGAGAAGUACAAUCCCAAGUGCUUGUAUUUACUUUAUACAGAUCCGCCAGGUCCAUCACCAACUGGAUAAACAAAUAUCUAGCUUGAAGCGACUAUGCCUCAACCCUAGGGUAGCUGGUACAUGGCACCGUGUGGCUGGUGUGGAAGAGCGAAGAGCAGUUAAGUGGGCCUGACUGCGGAAGGCACAAAAUAGAGCUGGUGGUGUUCCAGGGCCUUUGAGGUUCUCUGUCGGUGCUCCUCAAGAAUGAGACUCUUUGGAAAGCUGAUGUUUUGCCCAGAGGAGAGUGGGGAUGGCAGGCAUGCAAAACGUCACAGUGAUGCAAAAGUCUCUAAUACAGCCUGAGGCCAGCUGUCCUCACAAGAUAGUGCUCAUGAAGACCCCAAGACACAAUGAGAAAGAGAGAGCAGAAGUCACAAGAUUGUCCAUGAACUUGUCACGUGUUUCUUGAGAACCCACUCCAUGCUGGUCCCCUGGGCUGAUCAUGGAACACUCAGAGAAGCUGAGAGUCCUGUGUGGGAGACAAACACUCAUAUGUAAUGCCAUUCAAUAAAAGCAAAACCACGGUGGCUCAGGAGCUCCACAGAGUAGGGCCUGUCUCAGCCUAAAGAUGGGAGCUGACCAAGCAAAGAGAAGUGGUGAUACUGAGAGAGGAUUCCUAAAGCAUGAGCAGAAGUGCUAGGAUCGGGUAAGAGGUGAGGGCAAGAAAAGAGGUGAGGGAGAAAUGCACGGAACACAGACCACAGCAGAUCCCAUAGAACAGGGUGAGGUAUGUUGUCUCACCAGUACUAUAUUUUUGGAUUGAACUCCAAGAAUGAUCUAUGAGGUUAGGACUGGGACAAGGAAAGAUAACUUUGAAAGCAGAGAUUAGAUAUCCUAGGGGUGACAGUUCCUAACUAUGGUUCCCAGACCUUAAGUAUUUUCAAUGAACUCAUAAAAUGUACAUCAAAAAAAAAGUACAGAGAUCACACCUAGAGCUCAGGGCAUGCUAGGCAAGCACUCUGUCCCUGAGCAGCAAUCCCUAACUCAGUGGUUCUCAACAUCCCUAAUGCUGGGACCCUUUAAUUCAUUCUCCACGUCAUGGUGCCCUGCAACCAUUACAUUAUUUCAUUGCUACUUCAUAACUGUAAUUUCUCUGCUGUUAUGAAUGAUAAUGUAAAUAUCAGUAAAUAAGCAGGCAGUCUUAGGCAACCCCUGGAAAACUUCAUUCUACCCCCAAAAGGGUUGCAGCCCAUAGGUUGAGAACCAUUGAAUUAUGCUUCUAAGUAAAUGCUUUUCUUUUCUCUCUCUCUCUCUCUCUCUCUCUCUCCCUCUCUUUCUUUCUUUUUCUUGUUUGGCUUUUCUAGAUAGAGUUUUUCUGUGUAGCCUUGGCUGUCCUGGACUCACUUUGUAGACCAGGCUGGUCUCGAACUCAUAGAGAUCUGCCUACCUCUGCCUUCCGAAGUUUUGGGAUUAAAGGCAUGUGCCACCACCACUGGGCAUAAGUGCAUUUCUAAGCUUAGAUCAUUUGCAUAUGUGGACUUUGUGCCUUCUUUGCUACAAAAAGAAGAAAACCUGAAAGUCAAUUUAGAGAAAAUAAAUGGUCUCUGAUUAUUUCUAGUCUUAUUCUCUAGAUCAUUGCCCAGUGAGGUCUGCUCUCUUAAACAGACACGGGUAAGUUUGGGAAAGCUUCUGUGUUAAGGAUUUAUUAGUACCAAACUGAGCCUUUCUGCUCAUUUCUAUAGGAUUCAGAAGAAAACUGCAAAUCACUGAAUCGUUUUCUCACUGUGUGAUUCGGGGCUUAGAGGCUCAGUGUCUCUUGAUGACCCAAAAUCAACCUUCAGAAGCAAUCCAGGGCACACAGGGAAAUGUCCUUUCCAGCCCUGAGUCGUUUGAGCACAGAGAAGUUAUAGGUAGGAUGCUGUGUAAUUCACCCAACACAGAGGCAAUGGAGGUUAUCUUGGACCCUCUAAUCCAUCUUUUCCUGUUCCAUCAAGCCUUUCUCAGCAAACUCUUCCACCCUACAUCUGCUUAGGCAUAUUCUAGCUCAAGAAUCUCCUUUUUCUCUUUGAUAUAAUCUCAUACUUUAGCUCUGGCUAUAUGUAUCAGCAUCCCUUCUGUCUCAUCUACCAAUGGGAUUAUAGGCAUGAGCUAUACUGCCCUGCAGAGAAACUUUUCUGUAGCUUGCUAGAGCCCCAACUGUCUAUUUCAGGCCGACACCAAGGUAUUAUGUUAUUUGCUGUACAGCUGGGUGGAAGGGACUUCUCAGGCUGUUGGCUUUCAAGGUUGUCUGGUAAUCUACAUAUUACUUGUUAUUUGAGCAAACCAGCAUUGGUGGGGAGAGGACAAAAGAGUAGAGGAGAUUGUAUUAGGACCCCCAUCAGGUUUCAGAGAUGAGCAGCACAUACAUUAGACUCCUGUCCCUUUGAAUGUCCCCAAGCCUGGGGCCCCUGAGUUCCUACACUGCUCUGAGCCUGCCACAGAUGGGAACUGUAUAAGGACAGCUGGGGUGUGUUUCCGGAUAGGUCUCCCCGCCUCCUCCCCUCUCCAGCUUGUCUGAAAAGGAUGUGGAAAUG